GUUUUGUUUUACAGGAUGCAAUCAGGAUGAUGAUUACUCAAGGCAACAUGCAACUUCAGGAACUUCAGAGAGCACUCAAGCUGGCAAAAUCCUGAUCUUCACUUUGUUGACAGCUGGACUGUCAUCUACAGUGAAUAAAAAAUUUUGUUUAGUUUGCACUUUUUUCCAUAUAAGGCACACAUACCCCUUCUUCUUUGACUCUUGUUGCUUUGAAAGAACAUGAUUUGGUUUCUGGUUCUGUUAAGAAUAGGCGUAGGACCCUCACCUCUUUGGGGCAACCUUUUUCCCCCUCCUCUUCCUAAAGUACAUGCGUGGGUCCCAUUGGCAAAUGUGACCGGACAAGACACUUUGUGUCUUGCUACUGCCUCUCCUAAGAACCCCUUCUCUACGUGCCUCGUGGGUUUGCCGCUGGACGAGUGGCUGAUCCCUAUGGGACUCCGAUUCGUCUUUCCAUCCCGAAACGUGUCCAAAAAUGUGACCGAUAAUUGGGAUGGGUGGACCCCCUAUCUCCCACCCACUACCCUACAGCCACAAGAGAUUGAGCUCCUCGGAUCAGUAAACAUGGACUUUUGUGUUAAGUUGAACUCUACAGGAAAAAAUCAGCCUAGGGCAUGGGAUGUCUCUCCUGCCCAUCCUGCUUUUAAAAACGCAAGCGCUUGGUGUAAUUACACGGCAAGAAAUUUAUCUCGGUCUAGUAAUGUUCCCCUUCAAUUACCAUCAGGGAUAUUUUUGAUCUGUGGGGAUAGGGCAUGGCCCGUUAUCCCUUCUCCCAUCAGAGGAGGUCCGUGUAGCCUCGGACGCCUUUCUGUCCUGACUCCUAAUACAUCUCUGAUUUUACACCACCAUCUUUCUCAUAGGGCGAAGCAUGGCAUCCCCGCAUGUACCCCCGAUUGUCAUGAUAACGUGGAGUUUUGGUCUUUUAGUCGACGCUUUCCUGCCUCUCUUUCGUUCCCGGGAGUUGCCGCUGGGAGAGCAUUAGCGCCUUCAGGUAAGCUUGGCUGCUGGCGUGCUGAACAGCCCAAUGCUACUAGUAAUGCAGUGUCUGGCCUUUUCUUCGAUGUUGAGAGUGUCGGCCGUG
rnacentral:lncRNA from 1 species